rnacentral:miRNA from 1 species
GAAAUGUUCCAAUGGUCGGGCA